UGAAUGGGUUGAGGAGCCUCUUGAUUGAGAGUCCAUGUUUAUAAAUAGAGUAAAACUGUAACCUGAAGAAGAAAGUACUGCAAUGAUACCAUGUUAAUAGGAGCUGAUCCCUCCCUCUCCUCCAUGACGUUGCCCCCGCCCUGGAACUGAAAAUGGCAGCAAUUCUCAGAACCCCCAGGUCUCAUCGGGUGAAAAUGUGAAAACAUUGCAGUGUCCUGCUUUUACUAAGAAUCGUUAUUCAAGGUUUAAUCUGCUGUUUCAUUUCUACUGAACAUGUUGUCUUUCCAGGCUGGUGUCAAGGGGACAUUGGGGCGACUACUAGGAAUUUUCAAGAACACAGAGAGGAAGCACAGAACAUACAGUGCCUUGCGAAAGUAUUCGGCCCCCUUGAACUUUGCGACCUUUUGCCACAUUUCAGGCUUCAAACAUAAAGAUAUAAAACUGUAUUUUUUUGUGAAGAAUCAACAACAAGUGGGACACAAUCAUGAAGUGGAAUGACAUUUAUUGGAUAUUUCAAACUUUUUUAACAAAUCAAAAACUGAAAAAUUGGGCGUGCAAAAUUAUUCAGCCCCUUUACUUUCAGUGCAGCAAACUCUCUCCAGAAGUUCAGUGAGGAUCUCUGAAUGAUCCAAUGUUGACCUAAAUGACUAAUGAUGAUAAAUACAAUCCACCUGUGUGUAAUCAAGUCUCCGUAUAAAUGCACCUGCACUGUGAUAGUCUCAGAGGUCUGUUAAAAGCGCAGAGAGCAUCAUGAAGAACAAGGAACACACCAGGCAGGUCCAAGAUACUGUUGUGAAGAAGUUUAAAGCCGGAUUUGGAUACAAAAAGAUUUCCCAAGCUUUAAACAUCCCAAGGAGCACUGUGCAAGCGAUAAUAUUGAAAUGAAAGGAGAAUCAGACCACUGCAAAUCUACCAAGACCUGGCCGUCCCUCUAAACUUUCAGCUCAUACAAGGAGAAGACUGAUCAGAGAUGCAGCCAAGAGGCCCAUGAUCACUCUGGAUGAACUGCAGAGAUCUACAGCUGAGGGGGGACACUCUGUCCAUAGGACAACAAUCAGUCGUAUAUUGCACAAAUCUGGCCUUUAUGGAAGAGUGGCAAGAAGAAAGCCAUUUCUUAAAGAUAUCCAUAAAAAGUGUCGUUUAAAGUUUGCCACAAGCCACCUGGGAGACACACCAAACAUGUGGAAGAAGGUGCUCUGGUCAGAUGAAACCAAAAUUGAACUUUUUGGCAACAAUGCAAAACGUUAUGUUUGGCGUAAAAGCAACACAGCUCAUCACCCUGAACACACCAUCUCCACUGUCAAACAUGGUGGUGGCAGCAUCAUGGUUUGGGCCUGCUUUUCUUCAGCAGGGACAGGGAAGAUGGUUAAAAUUGAUGGGAAGAUGGAUGGAGCCAAAUACAGGACCAUUCUGGAAGAAAACCUGAUGGAGUCUGCAAAAGACCUGAGACUGGGACGGAGAUUUGUCUUCCAACAAGACAAUGAUCCAAAACAUAAAGCAAAAUCUACAAUGGAAUGGUUCAAAAAUAAACAUAUCCAGGUGUUAGAAUGGCCAAGUCAAAGUCCAGACCUGAAUCCAAUCGAGAAUCUGUGGAAAGAACUGAAAACUGCUGUUCACAAAUGCUCUCCAUCCAACCUCACUGAGCUCGAGCUGUUUUGCAAGGAGGAAUGGGAAAAAAUGUCAGUCUCUCGAUGUGCAAAACUGAUAGAGACAUACCCCAAGCGACUUACAGCUGUAAUCGCAGCAAAAGGUGGCGCUACAAAGUAUUAACUUAAGGGGGCUGAAUAAUUUUGCACGCCGAAUUUUUCAGUUUUUGAUUUGUUAAAAAAGUUUGAAAUAUCCAAUAAAUGUCGUUCCACUUCA